rnacentral:rRNA from 1 species
AGAGAGAGACAUGCGCGCAUAUCAAUAAGCGGAGGAAAAGAAACUAACAAGGAUUCCCUUAGUAACGGCGAGUGAAGCGGGAAGAGCUCAAAUUUGAAAUCUUCAAGGUCCUACCUUGACGAAUUGUAGUUUAUAGAAGUGUUUUCUGUUAGUGGAGUGGCAAAAGUUCUUCGGAAUAGGACAUCAUAGAGGGUGAGAAUCCCGUAUUUGGUCAUUCCUCCUAGCGUUGUGAUACACUUUCAACGAGUCGGAUUGUUUGGGAAUGCAGUCCAAAAUGGGUGGUAAAUUCAUCUAAAGCUAAAUAUUGGCGAGAGACCGAUAGCGAACAAGUACCGUGAGGGAAAGAUGAAAAGAACUUUGAAAAGAGAGUUAAACAGUAGCGUGAAAUUGUCAAAAGGGAAGCGUUUGACACCAGUGUUGUUUUUCCGAAAAUCAAUUACGAAUGUUUUAUUUUUGAGGAGUUAUGACUUCAUCGGCUUGCUCCUUUCUUUACUGAAACUUUCUUAAUGCACUUUUCGGUUAACAAGUCAACAUCAAUUUCUUUUGUUGUAAAAGGGUAUGAGGAAGGUGGCUUUCUUUUCGGAGAAAGUGUUUAUAGCCUUGUGCCUCUGCAAUCGGAGAGAUUGAGGUCUGCAGCGUAGAUCCUUCGGGGUUAGAUACGUUUGUGCUAAGUUAUAGCUUUUCAUAGACAACUUGUUGACUAUGUUUAGUCUUGUAGCUUACUCGCUGACGCUAUUUUACCUACGCUUAGGAUGUUGAUAGUCACAGCGUGUAC